CAUGGCUGUCGUCAGCUCGUGUCGUGAGAUGUUGGGUUAAGUCCCGCAACGAGCGCAGCCCUUGUCAUUAGUUGCUACGAAAGGGCACUCUAAUGAGACUGCCGGUGACAAACCGGAGGAAGGUGGGGAUGACGUCAAGUCCUCAUGGCCCUUAUGGGUAGGGCUUCACACGUCAUACAAUGGUCGGUACAGAGGGUUGCCAAGCCGCGAGGUGGAGCCAAUCCCAGAAAACCGAUCGUAGUCCGGAUCGCAGUCUGCAACUCGACUGCGUGAAGUCGGAAUCGCUAGUAAUCGCGGAUCAGAAUGCCGCGGUGAAUACGUUCCCGGGUCUUGUACACACCGCCCGUUACACCAUGGGAG
rnacentral:rRNA from 1 species